UGACAAUGUUGAUGGUUUCUGAGUGACUA
rnacentral:piRNA from 1 species